CCCGGCCUCCUCAGUACCCGUGGGUAGGCUUCAGGACCAUGUGGGGCUGCCUCCACGGUGACAGGAGCCCUGGCCUCCUCAGGACUCGCGGUGAGGCUUCCAGAGGAUGUGGAGCCCCGUCCUCGCUGACAGGAGCCUGGUCUCCUCAGGACCCGCGGUGAGACUUCAGGAAGAUGUGGGGCCGCGUCCUCCCUGACAGGAGCCCCGGCCUCCUUAGGACCCACGGACCCGCUGUCUAUGACUCAGGAAGACAUGGGGCCACGUCCGCCAUGACAGGAGUCCGGCUUCCUCAGGACCCGCUGGAGGACCCUGGAGGCGCUGUUCAGAGUCACAUCCACCUCAGCAGGGCUACUCAGAACGACAAGACAUAGAGAGAGAGAGGCAGAGCCACAGGCAGAGGGAGAAGCAGGCUCCAUGCCAGGAG